CUUAAAUACGUGUACUUGCUGUAAAUAUGGACAAAAAGCAAUAUGUGGGCUUUAGGUGGGCAUCUAGUGAGUAUGGGUUGCCCAUAAAGGACCUACAUAUAUUU